rnacentral:rRNA from 1 species
UACGUAGGGCGCAAGCGUUAUCCGGAAUUAUUGGGCGUAAAGAGCUCGUAGGCGGUCUGUCGCGUCUGCUGUGAAAACCCGAGGCUCAACCUCGGGCCUGCAGUGGGUACGGGCAGACUAGAGUGCGGUAGGGGGAGAAUGGAAUUCCUGGUGUAGCGGUGGAAUGCGCAGAUAUCAGGAGGAACACCGAUGGCGAAGGCAGUUCUCUGGGCCGUAACUGACGCUGAGGAGCGAAAGCGUGGGGAGCGAACAGG